GUGCUCACUUUGGCAGCACAGGCACUAAAAUUGGAACAAUUCAGAGAAGAUUAGCGUGGCCCUGCACAAGGGUGACAUGCAAAUUCGUGAAGGGUUCCAUGUUUUU
ensembl:snRNA U6 U6 spliceosomal RNA